GCCUCCGUCGUCUAGCGGUCAGGACAUCGCCCUCUCAAGGCGGAAACACGGGUUCGAUUCCCGUCGGAGGUGCCA
rnacentral:tRNA from 1 species